GGCACGCCUAACACAUGCAAGUCGAACGAAGUAGCAAUACUUAGUGGCAGACGGGUGAGUAACAUGUGGGUAUCUACCCUUUGGCCUGGAAUAACACGAGGAAACUUGUGCUAAUACCGGAUAAGUCUUUACGGAGAAAGCUUUAUGCACCAUUGGAUGAGCCCGCACUAGAUUAGUUUGUUGGUGGGGUAAUGGCCUACCAAGACUGUGAUCUAUAGCUGAUUUGAGAGGAUGAUCAGCCACAUUGGGACUGAGACACGGCCCAAACUCCUACGGGAGGCAGCAGUGGGGAAUCUUGCACAAUGGAGGAAACUCUGAUGCAGCGAUGCCGCGUGAGUGAAGAAGGCCUUUGGGUUGUAAAGCUCUUUCGUCGGGGAAGAAAAUGACUGUACCCGAAUAAGA
rnacentral:rRNA from 1 species